CCCUAGCCCCGAUUGCAGAGAAAAUCCUUUUUUGAAAAAAAAGAUUGUAACGGAAAGCGGGAAAUAGC
rnacentral:sRNA from 1 species